AAGACAUGAGUUCCAGCAGUUCAGUCUUUUUUUAUUUUUGUCUUUAGCCCAGGCAAGACGCUUCUGACGCUGUCUCUUGUUCAAGAGUGGCUUGACACAAGGAAUGUGACAGGUGAAAAUGUCUUGCAUAUGUCUGUGCACGGUCGUUCUUGAAGCACUGACUCCAGCUGCAGUCCACUCUUUGUGAAUCUCCCCCACAUUUUGGAAUG